GAUGAACGCUGGCGGCGUGCCUAAUACAUGCCAGUCGAGCGAACGGACGAGAAGCUUGCUUCUCUGAUGUUAGCGGCGGACGGGUGAGUAACACGUGGAUAACCUACCUAUAAGACUUGGAUAACUUCGGGAAACCGGAGCUAAUACCGGAUAAUAUUUUGAACCGCAUGGUUCAAAAGUGAAAGACGGUCUUGCUGUCACUUAUAGAUGGAUCCGCGCUGCAUUAGCUAGUUGGUAAGGUAACGGCUUACCAAGGCAACGAUGCAUAGCCGACCUGAGAGGGUGAUCGGCCACACUGGAACUGAGACACGGUCCAGACUCCUACGGGAGGCGGCAGUAGGGAAUCUUCCGCAAUGGGCGAUAGCCUGACGGAGCAACGCCGCGUGAGUGAUGAAGGUCUUCGGAUCGUAAAACUCUGUUAUUAGGGAAGAACAUAUGUGUAAGUAACUGUGCACAUCUUGACGGUACCUAAUCAGAAAGCCACGGCUAACUACGUG
rnacentral:rRNA from 1 species